UUCUGCAUAUCGAGCUCCGCAUUCUUUUCAAUUGCAGAACAUGACUUCCCUCUUUCUUCUCUUUAUUUCCAAUUUUGGCUCGAAAAUUUCCCUCCCAAAAUUUUCUCCACUAAGAUCGUGGGAUGUUUAUCACGAUCUCAGUUUCAGUUUCUCUUCGGAUAAACCCAUAUAUUUAGUUUCCACAGCAAACCUAGCCCUAGAAUUUGGAAAAACGAAUCAAAGGAAUUGGAGAAAUCAACCCCUUUGGGUAAGUGAAUGAUGUUUGGUUUCAACUUUUAACUGUCAAUAGGUCUAAAUUUUUCUUUAUCUUUCUUUUCUUAUCGAUUUCUAUAUCUUUCAUGUAUUCAAUUUGACUAUGAAAUCAUCGAAAUUGAAAAAUAGUGAAUUACCGAACCCUAAAAGGUUUAGGUUUAUUGGAAACUAAAAAAAUACAUUGAAAUAUUCUAAUUGAAUGUGAUCUGAAGGAUUUUAGCUAAUGGUAAAUAUGGGGUUUGAAUGCUUGUUAUGUUUCUGAUUUUAGCUAAUGAAAAUUUCUUAUCUUUAUAGAUUAGGAUUUGUAACGUUGGCGAUUUUUUUUUAAGGUUAACUGAAUCGUGGUUUUUUUAUUUCAAUAAAAAGUAUUAGUAGUUACAGAAGAUAGGCCAUUAAUGGAUUUCUGAUUGGUUGCUACUCGUAUGUAACUAAUGGGGUUAAUUUUGCGGUUUGAUUUUAAAGUCACCCAAUUGAUUGUCUAUUACAGAUGAUAUGUUGAUUUAUGAGUUGUUUUGAUAGAUUUAUGGAGAGUGGAUGUUGGUAGACGUACUAGUUUGUUUGAUUUGUUAUACUUAAAUUGGGAUUGAUUAUUGUACAAGUGAGAUAGAAUAGCUUUUGUUUGAGGAUGGGAACAAGGUUAGAUGCCUUUGUUUGUGUUUAUUUUUAUGAAAGGUGCGAUCUUUAGAAAUGAAGAGAUAAGUGUUGAAGUGAGAUAUGAAUUUAUGGGUGGUUUUUGCAGCUAUCUAUAGAGGAGGUGAGAAAGACCAGAAGAGAUGCCGUAAGUUUUGAUAAAACACGAAACCAAGUGAAUAUUCAGAGUAUUUGUUGACAUUUUUUCACGCGUUAACUCUUCUUUAUAUUCUACUAUUUUUCCUCGUAUGUUCCUAAUUGUUUCCUCUGCUGGUAGGUUACGUAUAUUUACAAAUGACUUUUGAAGAAUUUCAGUCAUUAUAAUCGUUCGGAUUUUUUCUAAUGAACUUUUAUUUAUCAUACAAAUGACUGUCUUGUUGUGUUCUCAUUUUGUUUCUUUAAUUGUAAACUAAAACAACUAUAUUAUAUUCACACGUUUAAGAAAAUAGUUUUGAAGAGAUGGUUUGUGGUGUUCCAAACUAAUUCCAGAAUAUGCCACUCUCUCAUGAGGACACUUUACUGAUAAAUUAAAAUAAAAUUGACAUGGAUUUUUAAUUGUAUUUGUAUUCGAUUGGUUAUGGUUUGUACUUCAGUUGAGGUGAAUAUUUGGAAAUACUUCAUGAUAGAUUUCAUGUGAGUGCGGUUUAGUCAUCUAUACGAUGAGCCCCCUGUGUAUACAUACAGAGAACAUUUCGAAUUAUAUUUUGCAUUACAUAUGAAUUAAUGACCUCAACUUUAUUUUACAGACAACUUAUCUGAUAUAAAUUUUGGAAGGUGACGCGACAACUCAAUUAUAUAUCACACGCUCAAGAGGUCCCAAGUGAUUCUAAGUAGUUUACUUUAUCCUAACUUAUAGUAAUGAUAUGAUUGGUGUGUGUUUAUGAGUAAAUUUUGAAUUUCAUGCAUGUUUGAUACAUGAUAAGUGUGAUUAGUUUGAAUGUAUAGUACGUCAGUCCCGAUGGACAAAAAGUGGAUGGAAGAAGAAGAUAGAUCCAAUGAUUUGUACCUAGCAGGGGUCAAGGAAUUUAUCGACUGUGCACGUAGAACAUGAAGAGUUCUUUUUUCUUGCCCUUGCUAAUGGAAAAUAUGGGGUUUGAAUGCUUGUUGUGUUUCUGAUUUUAGCUAAUGGAAAUUUCUUAUCUUUAUUGACUAGGAUUUGUAAUGUUGAAGAUUUUGAAGGUUAGCUGAAUCGUGGUUUUUUGUUUCCAAUGGAAAGUAUUAGUAGUUACAGAAAUAGGUACAACUUAGAUGACAAAACAGAUGUAAAUAAAACAUUAGUGAAUUUCGGCUUUGGUCAACUAAGAUAGGUGCCUUUUACAGCAUAGUUUCCAAGUAUUGCAUUAAAAAUUCCAAAUUCUUUGGAUCCUCAGUCCAGAUAUCGUCGAGCACAAGAAAGAAUGUUUAACCCCCCCCCCCCCCCCCCCGACAGACUCAACUAAUUUUUUUUGCAAAGCAUUCCAUCCUAAGUUUUGUGAAUCUUUUCCUGUAGCUUCUAGCAUGAUUGCCUUGGCAAUUUUUAUGCGAUCAAAACGAUCAGAAACACUGACCCAAAUAGCUAUUUCAAAACGGGUUAGAUUUUGUAUGCUAUGAUGGUUGAAUACUAGGUGGGCCAGAUUAGUCUUGCCAAGACCCCCCAUCCCAAUGAUAGAGAUGAUGCGGGGAUCACUUGUUUCAUCAUUUUGAUGGCUACUACUGCUUCCAAUGUCUAAUAGUUUAUUCAGAAUUGUGUUUUUAUCAUUAUCCCGACCACAAAUAUCUGGAUCUACUAUGAUCUGACUAGUUUCUGUUCCCUCAAUUUGAUGACCCUCUCCAACUCUCUGACUUGUGCUGAAUUGAAAUUUAAGUGCUCACAGACAAGAAUUCUACUUGAACUAUUUUCAGUCGAUCCUUGAAAACACUAGCCUAUAUAUGAGAAACAAAUAAAUUAUAUCUAUUUUCAGUCGAUCCAUGCGAAAUGUUGGGAUUUUCUUUGGCUUUGUUGGAGUUACGCCAAAUAAAUUAUAUCUCUUAAUUUUAUCCUUGUUUAUGGACAUAAAUAAUUUCAUGGUCUUAUUUCUGAAAUGGAUAGGCUAGUUGUACUUGUCUCACAAGUUUUUUAGUUUGUUUUCCAAUCAUGGAAUGGAGGAAACUGUUUUGUUUUUUUUUGGCACAGAUCUUCGGUUCUUUGGCUGCUGCUGUCUUUUCAUAAUUCGGGUGGAAGUUCUUGGUUUCCAAGCACAUUAACUAGUGUUCUUUGUUACAAUUACUAUGGAUAUGUGAUGAUGGCGUUCCAUACCUAGGAGGCAUUAAUAAAGAUGACUCAGAUGAGCAUGCUUUGCUGAUGAAAUCAGUCAUCCGGUUCUUACUUAUCUUGUGGUUCCUCUAUCGAAAAGUCUCCAUGGAGCUGAAUGAAUUCAUCAACUGCCUGUAAAUUCUCUUCUUAGGAGCAACCAAAUCAAUGAGAUGGAAGGAGGAGCCUUGUUUGUAUUUGACCUUUAUAUUUUUGGAUCACAUGAAAAAACUGGAUUUCACGAGGCUAGUGCAUUGGCAUCUGCGUUUGGUAUGCAGUCUACAGUCGAAACUCAAUGAUCCAGCGCCGCUUUGCACCGGGUAUUACACUAGGACCGACGUAGAAUUUUUUCGUACGCAGGUAAUAAUUUUUUCAAGCUCCACUGGAUUUCAAGGAAUAUGCCUCCAAAGUUGGCGUAGAUUUUGUCAGAAAAAUGGUUUGUACUAUUGAUGUGCCAUCAAGUUAGAAAGAGCAGCUGAAUUUUGUAAAGUGUUUGAUUGGGAUCAUAACUAUGGCGUCCAUGAGGCUAUCAUUUUCAUCAUGGGUAUCUCUAGGCGAUAUCCUAACACCUAUCAAUCAAUCAUUGCAGUACUUUGCAUGUGGAUUAGACACGUUAGUUGAAAGCAAAGUUCUUGGAGAGUUUCCCAAAAGAGCCUGCUCUGGUUCAGUUACAUUUGCUUACAAUCACUAUAAAUUUUUCAUGAAGAAUCCAACAGAAGGCCCACAAAUAAUAAUUUAGGUAAUCCUAAAUAAUACUACUGUUGAGACGGACAGUCCAGUUCUGCGUGAUCGGACUAUAAUUAUUUGCAAGUCUAACACGGUAUUGCCAGGAUGUAAGUCCACAAAAGUAAUCGUAUUCAGAUAAUAAAUAUAGUGGAGGUGUCAAGUCCAACACGGUAUUUGCCGGUCUUUAAAUGUUAGGAAGAACGUACAAGUUUAUGCUUCUCGCAAAAACCAUCAAAAAGGAUGGGCGACUAAAAGAUACCUUGACACUACUAAUAAAUUUAGUUUCGUUUUCUUGUA